rnacentral:rRNA from 1 species
AGCAGUCGCCGCGGUAAUACGGAGGGAGCUAGCGUUGUUCGGAAUUACUGGGCGUAAAGGGUGCGUAGGCGGUUUGGCAAGUUUGGUGUGAAAUCUUCGGGCUCAACUCGAAGUCUGCAUCGAAAACUGCCGGGCUUGAGUAUGGGAGAGGUGAGUGGAAUUUCCGGUGUAGCGGUGAAAUGCGUAGAUAUCGGAAGGAACACCUGUGGCGAAAGCGGCUCACUGGACCAUAACUGACGCUGAUGCACGAAGGCUAGGGGAGCAAACAGGAUUAGAUACCCCAGUAGUCCCUGUCUCUUAUAC